GAGUUCAAGAGAACUUGAAACCGUUUAGGGGUAAACMUGAGAAACCCGARAGGUCKWAGGGAGAAAUUCAUUCGCGUUUCGCCGUUGGCGKGAGACGAUCGAGCGACGGGAAACGUACGCGUUCCUCGCGCCUUUCGCCUUUCGAUCCGAUAACGAACGCGUGCACUUUUCUCCUGGUAGGACGUCGCGAUCCGWUGAGCGUUGGUCUACGGCCCGCGGCGGAGCCUCAUCGGACGGAGUCAAAUCCGUUGUUCCGUUGAGACCCGCGGUGACCCGGCCGACUCGCUCGACGGUAUACCUUAGGCCCUGGGCCGCUUAUAAAGCGUUCGGCUCGCGGCAAGCGCGUCGGAAGCGUCGGAUAUCGGACCUGGUGCCGGUAUCUGAUCUCCGAUGACUGUUAGCCGCGAAGUUCUCGAACAGACCCUGGUCUCCCUCUUUCGCGGGGGGAGAUUCGGCCGAUCUGCGACGCUAUAGCUUUGGGUACUUUCAGGACCCGUCUUGAA
rnacentral:rRNA from 1 species